AGGAGGACACUUCAUCAGAGAACUCGGGGAGGUGUCUGGCGUGGAGAACAUGCUCGUUUCUUGCUGGUUGCAGUAGGAAAGCCUGUGACAUCGCAGAAAAGCAGACUUGGGUCUUGAACGAGUUUGGGGCCUGUCCCUGAUGGCCUGGCCUCUGCAGAGAUGUCUGGAGGGGAUGACUUCUCCCCACCUCCUGGGAUUCACAUGGGGCCACUCCCCAUCCACUGGCUUUAGAGGCAGGCAUGUAUCCCAAGCUGGACACUGAGACUCCCUCUUGGGACUUUUGCAGCAACUAUGGGAAAAGAGGCAUUCACUUUUCAUGGGAGUUGCCAGGUUGAUGGAACUCCUGCUCUCCACUUGAGAUGAAGCCAAGUGGUAGAGAAAGUAUGCUGUCCCCAGACCUCAGUAAGCCCCUGGAUCCAGCCAUGCCUGAAGCUAACCACACCUCUGGACUAACCUGAUUAUAUGAGCCAAUGAAUGCAUUUCUUUUUUUCUAAAACUAUCCUGAGUUGGAUUUCUGUCAUAGAAAGGGCCCUAAUAAAGCUAUGUUUUUCUU